CAUCAGUCAGUACUAUGACGUAGUAUAGAUACCGGAAGGGCUUUCGGAGGAUACCCUGGAUCCUGGUGGCUUAGAUCAGACCCAGAAAUUCUUGGAUGCCCCUGCAGGCACACACAGACGCCCGCAGAGCGGAGAGAUCCUGGAGUGAGGAUCAGAACGAGAGGAAGAGGCUGGGGCCAAACGGAGCUCAUGGCGCAAACCCUAAGGUAUAGGUCAAGAACCCCAGAAAGGAGCAGCUGAGUCGUUCUCACGGGAGCUCUUGCUGGCAUCUGCAGUAAAGCGAGAGAUGGGGUUGCAUUGGCCGGCGGCGGCUGGGAGGUGAGGUCGAGUUGUUGACAACAGACUCUGUGCGUGGCCUGGCCUGACAGUGUGAGCGUCCUCACAACCCGGACGUUUCCGGUUGCUGGACUUGCCUGGUAACUCAAAGGAGAACAAGGCAGAAUCCGGACCUCAGAUUUUGGGCCCACAUUCUACCGGAAACAAACAAGGCACAAAUCUGCCCACGUACAGGAAGAUGGUGGGAUACGGAAACAUUCAUAACUACUUUUUAAGAUGCCUCAGCACUUCUAAAGAACUUAUCAAGUAUAGUUAUACUUGUGUUAACUACACAUGUGGCCAGUAGGAGAAAAAAAAAGACACAAAUAAAAAUUUAAGCAAUUUUCUCUUGAA